AUUGCCCUUACGGCUCAGUAACACGUGGAUAACAUGCCCUAAGGUGGGGGAUAAUCUCGGGAAACUGAGGAUAAUACCCCAUAGGUCUGAUAUGCUGGUAUGCUUUCAGGCCGAAAACUCCGGUGCCUUAGGAUUGGUCUGCGGUCUAUCAGGCUGUAGUGGGUGUAACGGACCCACUAGCCCGUGACGGAUAUGGGCCUUGAGAGAGGGAGCCCAGAGAUGGACUCUGAGACAUGAGUCCAGGCCCUACGGGGCGCAGCAGUCGCGAAAACUUCGCAAUGGGGGCAACCCCGACGAGGGAAUUCCAAGUGCCAGCACUUUGUGUUGGCUGUUCUCCUGUCUAAAAAACAGGAGGAGUAAGGGGCGGGUAAGACGGGUGCCAGCCGCCGCGGUAAUACCCGCGCCCCUAGUGGUGGUCGAUAUUAUUGAGCCUAAAACGUCCGUAGCCGGUCUUCUAAAUCCUUGGGUAAAUCGGGCAGCUUAACUGUCCGAAGUCCGGGGAGACUGGAAGACUUGGGACCGGGAGAGGUCAGAGGUACUUCUGGGGUAGGGGUAAAAUCCUGUAAUCCUGGAAGGACCACCGGUGGCGAAGGCGUCUGACUAGAACGGAUCCGACGGUGAGGGACGAAGCCCUGGGGCGCAAACGGGAUUAGAUACCCCGGUAGUCCAGGGUGUAAACGCUGCGGGCUUGGUGUUGGGGGUCCUUAGUGGGCGCCCAGUGCCGGAGAGAAGUUGUUAAGCCUGCUGCUUGGGGAGUAUGUCCGCAAGGAUGAAACUUAAAGGAAUUGGCGGGGGAGCAC
rnacentral:rRNA from 1 species